GCAUUCAAUCAUCAUCAGGGGGCUCAAUACUCCUGCACACGGACGCAAUACCACGAGUGCCCCCGCGAUGAAGGCCAAGAAAUGACUGAUCGUGCCACCCCUGACAGCCAGAAGUGUGCUGGGGAAGAAGACGGCCUCUGAGCGGCACAGCUCCCCUGGUGUGCCGCAAGAGUGUCCCUGCAGAUUUGGGAAGCAACUCCUUGAUUUUGGGGUCGGGCAGGGCUGAAGGUGCUGGGGACCAAAGAAAAGUGAGAGACCCAAAGCAGUGAGAGACUGUGUCGCUGAUACCUUCUGCUUCUCACGUGGAGAAGGAGCUGCCAGUUAACCCAAAGUGCAAAGCGUCUAGCUAAAGGUGAGAUGACUACACACAGCACAAAGAAAUGAUGCAGUCGUCUCUUUCCUCCAGUCUGCCUUCUUCGAAAUUACUUAAAGUCUUGUAAAGAAAAGCCUCCCAGAUCCUCUACGAGCCGUAAACCUCAGGAACUGUCUGGCUUCAUUUCUGCAUAACUGUGAGGAGCUCUACAUCAGGUCUUCCAGGGUAACGGGAGAAGGAAAACAUAAUGGAAAAGGCUGAUGUAAACGUAGCUGUGUCUUCCUACACGUCUCUAUAGUUAAUACUCUCAUUAAUUAUCUCGGUAUCCAAGGGCUUAUGAAUUCAAACUAUUAUU